rnacentral:rRNA from 1 species
UACGUAGGGGGCAAGCGUUGUCCGGAAUUAUUGGGCGUAAAGAGCUUGUAGGCGGUUUGUCGCGUCUGCUGUUAAAUUUCGGGGCUCAACCCCGAACUUGCAGUGGGUACGGGCAGACUAGAGUGUGGUAGGGGAGACUGGAAUUCCUGGUGUAGCGGUGAAAUGCGCAGAUAUCAGGAGGAACACCGAUGGCGAAGGCAGGUGUCUGGGCCUCUACUGACGCUGAGAAGCGAAAGCAUGGGGAGCGAACAGG